rnacentral:rRNA from 1 species
AGUGAACGCUGGCGGUAGGCCUAACACAUGCAAGUCGAACGGCAGCACAGUAAGAGCUCGCUCUUACGGGUGGCGAGUGGCGGACGGGUGAGGAAUACAUCGGAUUCUACUUUUUCGUGGGGGAUAACGUAGGGACACUUACGCUAAUACCGCAUACGACCUACGGGUGAAAGCAGGGGAUCUUCGGACCUUGCGCGAUUGAUUGAGCCGAUGUCGGAGUAGCUAGUUGGCGGGGUAAAGGCCCACCAAGGCGACGAUCCGUAGCUGGUCUGAGAGGAUGAUCAGCCACACUGGAACUGAGACACGGUCCAGACUCCUACGGGAGGCAGCAGUGGGGAAUAUUGGGCAAUGGGCGCAAGCCUGAUCCAGCCAUACCGCGUGGGUGAAGAAGGCCUUCGGGUUGUAAAGCCCUUUUGUUGGGAAAGAAAAGCAGCAGGUUAAUACCCCGCUGUUCUGACGGUACCCAAAGAAUAAGCACCGGCUAACUUCGUG